rnacentral:rRNA from 1 species
UACGUAGGGUGCGAGCGUUAAUCGGAAUCACUGGGCGUAAAGUGUGCGCAGGCGGCCGCGCAAGUCGAGUGUGAAAGCCCCGGGCUUAACUUGGGAAUUGCGCUCGAAACUACGUGGCUAGAGUGUGGCAGAGGGAGGUGGAAUUCCACGUGUAGCGGUGAAAUGCGUAGAGAUGUGGAGGAACACCGAUGGCGAAGGCAGCCUCCUGGGCCAACACUGACGCUCAGGCACGAAAGCGUGGGGAGCAAACAGG